rnacentral:rRNA from 1 species
UACGGAGGAUGCAAGCGUUAUCCGGAUUUAUUGGGUUUAAAGGGUGCGUAGGCGGGACUGUAAGUCAGGGGUGAAAUACUGCAGCUUAACUGUAGCAUUGCCUUUGAAACUGCCGUUCUUGAGUACAGUUGAGGUAGGCGGAAUGUGGUGUGUAGCGGUGAAAUGCAUAGAUAUACCACAGAACGCCGAUUGCGAAGGCAGCUUACUAAGCUGUUACUGACGCUGAGGCACGAAAGCGUGGGGAUCAAACAGGAUUAGAUA